GACGAACGCUGGCGGCGUGCUUAACACAUGCAAGUCGAACGGAAAGGCCUGCUUUCCCUUGUGGAUUGCGGGUACUCGAGUGGCGAACGGGUGAGUAACACGUGAGUGAUCUGCCCCCAACUUGGGUAUAAGCCUGGGAAACUGGGUCUAAUUCCCGAUAGGACUGCAGGGUGGUGCCUGUGGUGGAAAACGAUUUUCUAGUGGUUGGGGAUGAGCUCGCGGCCUAUCAGCUUGUUGGUGGGGUAAUGGCCUACCAAGGCGGCGACGGGUAGCCGGCCUGGGAGGGUGGACGGCCACAUUGGGACUGAGAUACGGCCCAGACUCCUACGGGAGGCAGCAGUGGGGAGUAUUGCACAAUGGGCGGAAGCCUGAUGCAGCGACGCCGCGUGGGGGAUGACGGCCUUCGGGUUGUAAACUCCUUUCGACCGCGAGGAAGCCACCUGGUUGGAAGGGUGGUGACGGUAGUGGUAGAAGAAGCACCGGCUAACUACGUG
rnacentral:rRNA from 1 species